ACGACGGCUACCAUCGAAGCGCCCCCCGAAAGCUUAGACGUUUCUCAUGCGAAUGUGUGAGACGAAUACCUAUACUAUGGGAAGCUGUCAGAUAGGUUAUCAGAAAAUAGCAAAUCAUCGUUGUGGAUGCAGAAUUGUGAACUAUAAAGUGAAUUGGAAAUUUGUUUAUUUGAACUUAUAAUACUAAUUAAAACUACCUAAUUACAGAUCACAACAUAAACUAUUACUAAAUUACCCUAGCUAUAUUGCAAACCGUGAAAUUUAUUUGCCUAGUACGGGACCAAUUGUAAGUAGAAUUAGUUCUUUUUUAAUGCAAUUCAAUCACGAAUAAAUUUACAGCUUUGAGCUGAUUUCACCGGGAACAUUGGCGAAUUUUGCUCCAAAGACCUCCGAACGGCAAUCCACCGCAACAGUCUCAAAGAAUUGUUCGAGAUACAUAUCAACAUGCAAGGAUCCUUUGUCCGCCAGACGCGGUCGAAAAGUAGAGCGAUCCAAGAUGCAGCAGGCAGUAGUUCUCAACCUGUUCGUAGUGACGGUGCACGGCUAAACGUUCCGGAAUCAAUCGAAGAAGCAUUCGAGCCUUCACUGAUAGACAUCGAGCACGGCGGUGAUCAUGAUUGUGCAAAAUGUGGACGACCCAACAACGCCGAGUUGUACAUGGUACAGUGCGGAAAGUGCAAGCACUGGUACCACUUCUCGUGUGAGAACUUGGACACAGUUACAGCACGAUCAAGUGUCUUUGUCUGUGCAAAAUGCAAAGUGGUAGACCCACCGCCCCCUGGUAGUUCACGAACCAGAUCGAGUGCUUCGAGUGCGAAAAGGGCCCAAAUAGCUCGGGAUCUUCUACGGUUGGAGGAAGAAAGGUGCCUGCGCGAAAAGUUAGAGAACGAACGGUUGCAGAACGAGAAGCUACUGGUCGAGAAAGCAAUGAAUGAAAAGCUGGAACGAGAGAAGGAGUAUCUGGCUCGGAAGCAUGAGCUGCUUCGUCAGCAGGAUGAAGAGGUGCUGAGUAUAAGGAGUAGCCGCUCCAGUCGAAGUGGGGCAAGCAGCAGACAAAAGGUGGAAGACUGGUUCAACCACCAACAAGUGUCUGACGCACUCCCAGUUGAGUCAAAUCAAAAGAAACUUCAACAAGUCUCAUCCGAUCAACUUGCCGGACCAGCCGGUUCAUCGACUCCCAUGGAAACCAGCAGGGUGGUUGACAUGAAUCUUCAGCGAGUCCCAGCCGAGAUCGAAGUAGAAUCAGUUCCACGUACCGCCGACAGCAUUUCUAUCGGUGACAGUCCGGUCGAAUACGAUUUGCAUCAAAACGACCAACAAAGACAGAGUGCGGAAAGACAGUCAAACGUUCCAAACUUACCCUUGGUGAAUAUUCAACCGUACGUUCGUCUUCUUGAAGAUUCGAAUCCCACGAGUUCUUUCAUUCCAAAGCGGUUGACUACGGACAUCCGUCCGAGAAUUGUAACGAAGAUAAGGCCACCGGUACCCUAUGCAGUGUGGCAACGCGAAACGUGCGAGAUGCGGAGGCAGCAUGAUCGCGGACAGCGGCAGUUAGGUGAGGUCGAGGAAUCCUAUAGUCAACAGCAGCGGGAACAGGAAUUGAUUCGUCGUCUGAAGCGAUCCGAGGAAGAGCGUGAGCAGGACAGACAACGUCUGGAAGAUAUCGAAGCUGUUCUGAAAAUGCAACACGACGUCGAAACGCAGCACCAACAGGAAAAUGAUGUACGUAGGAAGCGAGAACUGGAUCUAGUUAACCAACUGAAGCUUUUCGAAAAACGAUACGAACAGGAGCAAGCAAGACGAGCGGAAGAGAAGCAGUCAUUCAUGGCGAAGGAGGAAAAGUUGAUCGAACAGUUGGAAAUUCUACGCCUGAGCUGUGAGCAAUAUUCGGCAGCGGAACAGCGCUCAGCGGCCGAGUGUAUUUCGGCGGCGGAACAGCGCUCAGCAGCUGAACAUCUCUCGGUGACGAACACACGCAUACCAGCGGAACAGAACGUUAACUUCCAAGGAACGUUCCAGCGAGGUUUAGCCGUGAGUACAAACCCACCAGCGGUUCCGGUAAGUGGUACGCAAAACAAUGUUUCAAACAGAGUGUCCCCUUGCCCAAGUGCCGUUAGUCAGGAUAGGAGAGUAGGAACACCCAAUGCAAACUUUGUACCUCCAAGGUUAGGGCCACCUUUGACAGAUCCGUUAGGGCAAUCUCAGUUCGAUCCGAAUGACUCCGCUAACCAGAACCGUUUCGCGCCCUUGCACUGCCAAUCAGUGAUGCAGGGCCCGAAUCCGCAACAGUUGGCAGCGAGGCAGGUCAUAUCCAGAGAUCUUCCAGUGUUCAGUGGCGAUCCCAUCGAAUGGCCACUCUUCAUCAGUAGCUACAACCAUUCCACCGUGGCGUGUGGCUACACCGACUCGGAAAAUCUCCUACGUUUACAACGAUCGCUGAAAGGAGUCGCCAAGGAAGCUGUUAGCAGUUUCCUUCUCCAUCCGUUCACCGUACCGCAGGUUCUAUCGACGCUUCAGACACUGUACGGAAGACCAGAACAGAUCGUUCACAAUCUGGUCGCCAAGGUCCGAGGAACACCUGCCCCCAAAGCGGAAAAACUGGAGACGUUGAUUCAGUUUGGCUUAGCCGUCCAAAACUUGUGUGGACACUUGCAAGCGGUGGGAAUGGAAAAUCACCUUUCUAAUCCCAUCCUUUUGCAAGAGCUCGUGGAUAAGCUGCCGGCCAACAUAAAGUUCAACUGGGCACUGCACCAAGAGAACUUACCACUAGUUGAUCUGAAGGCGUUCAGCGAGUACAUGAGGAAGGUCACAACCGCCACUAGUGGAGUAACGAACUUUUCUGUCGCAGUAAAACCAACAAAGGACGAUAAGCCUCGGCACAAAGACAAGGUGUUCGUGAACGCUCACGCGGCCCAUGAGCAGAAGGAAGCAGUGCAAGCUGCCAACUCAUCUGGUGAUCGGCAAGGGCGAACUAAAAGCGGAAAAGACAAGCCAGUCAUAGCAAACAAAAGUUGUCCUGCAUGCGGCGCUUACGACCACACAGCUGCGAGUUGUGGAAUCUUCAAGAAGCUGUCGAUUGAUGGACGGUGGAAUUUCGUCAAGGAAAACAAACUGUGCCGUCGAUGUCUCGUUUCCCACACACGCUGGCCAUGCGAAGGAGAGGUUUGCGGUAUCAACAACUGUGACAAGCGCCACCAUCGUCUACUACACUCGGAGCCUAUCAAGAAACAGCCAGUUACCGAUGCCACUGUUACCAUCCACCGUCAGCCCAUUUCAUCGACGUUGUUCAAGAUUCUGCCUGUGACAUUGUACGGGAAGAAUAGUUCGGUGAAUACGUACGCAUUCUUGGACGACGGCUCAUCUGUGACUAUCGUGGAAAAAGCUAUUGCAGACGAACUGGGAGUAAACGGGCGAGCGCAUUCCUUGUGCAUCCAUUGGACUAGUGGAGUAAACAAGAAAAUUGCAACUACGGAACUGGACACGCUGAGCAUUUCGGAACUUGGGGGUGACACGCGUUUCCACCUGUCCGAAGUGUAUACCGUCGAGAAUCUAGGACUACCGGAACAGUCGCUGGAUGCUGUACAACUGGCGAAGGAGUUCCAGCAUCUGCGUCGUCUACCAGUCAGCAGUUAUCGAGGGGCCGUGCCUGGACUGUUGAUCGGUUUGAGUAACUCGCACCUGUUGACGACAACGAAACUUCGAGAAGGCCAAGAACGAGAACCAAUCGCUGCAAAAACUCGCAUUGGCUGGGUCGUAUGUGGUCGCGUACGAGGGGGAGAAGAAAACUUCCAGCACCGUCAAAUGCACAUAUGCGCCGACACGACAGAGCAUGACCUUCACGACUACGUACGCGAGUUUUUCUCGGUGGAAAGCUUAGGAGUUGCCUUGGCUCCUAACUUGGAGGGAAGUGAAGACCAACGAGCGCGCAAAAUUCUUGAGGACACUACAGUUCGGACCGCAAGUGGGAAGUUCGAAACCGGACUGCUUUGGAAAACAGAUUCCAUCGAGUUCCCGGACAGCCGUCCGAUGGCGGAGCGUCGAUUAAGAUGUCUUGAGAAGCGUUUGCAAAGGGACUCGAAGCUGUACGACAGCAUACGGCAACAGAUGGCAGACUAUGAAUCGAAAGGUUACGUCCACGUAGUAACGAAGAAAGAAAUGGCAGAAUUCGAUCCUCGGCGUAUCUGGUUCCUUCCUUUAGGAAUCGUGCUGAACCCAAACAAACCGGGAAAAGUGCGAGUAAUUUGGGAUGCGGCGGCGAAAGUGAACGGAGUGUCGUUGAACUCGAUGCUCCUCAAAGGUCCUGAUCUGUUGACGCCGCAAUUGUACGUGACCUUCAAAUUUCGGGAACGUGAAGUGGCGUUUUCCGCAGACAUCCAGGAAAUGUUCCUGCAAGUUGGAAUCAGGAAGGAAGACCGAAGUGCGCUGUUAUUCGUCUUUCGUAACACACCGACCGAACCGUUUGUGACCAUGGCGUCUGACGUCGCCAUUUUCGGAGCAACAUGUUCUCCCGCACAGUCACAGUACGUGAAGAACCGUAACGCAACGGAGAAUGAAAUACGCUAUCCAAGAGCAGCAUCAGCGAUCAAGAAUAAGCAUUACGUUGACGACUACCUUGAUAGCGUUGACACAGAAGAAGAAGCCAUAGAACUAGCGUUGGAGGUAGCAGAAGUCCACCGGAAAGCAGGCUUCCAUAUCCGGAACUGGGUAUCAAACCGAUCCUCGGUUCUGGACGCCAUCGGAGAUGAGAACCCCUCUACAGUGAAAAGCCUGUCUAUGAACAGCCACAGUGGUUUCGAGCGGGUGCUGGGAAUAUCGUGGUUGCCAAGCGAAGACGUGUUCUGCUUCACGAUCAGCCUACAAGAGGAACUGGAAAGGAAGACGGCGCCGACUAAGAGGGCGAUGUUAAGUUUUGUUAUGAAGAUUUACGAUCCAUUGGGACUAGUCGGCUCACUGGUAGUUCAAGGGAAAAUACUGCUGCAAGAUGUCUGGAGAGCGAAGGUGGAUUGGGACCAAAAGAUACCCGAAGAACUGUUUGUGCGAUGGAAGCUAUGGCUGCAGGGUUUGAAGGAGUUAGACAACGUACGAAUCCCUCGAAGCUACUUUCCGGGGUACGAUCCUACCUGCUACGAAGACCUGGAGCUCCACAUAUUCGUGGACGGAAGUGCGCAAGCAUACUCAUCUGUAGCAUACUUCCGCGUUCACGAUCGGGGACAGAUACGAUGUGCGCUAGUGGCGUCUAAAACGAAGGUAGCUCCACUACAGUUGACCUCCGUACCUCGAUUGGAGUUGCAAGCCGCCGUGAUUGGUGCACGUCUGCGUAAGACCAUUGAAGAUGGUCAUUCAGUCCGGAUCAAACGAACGUUCUAUUGGAGCGACUCAAGCACCGUCAUUUCGUGGGUAAAGUCAGAUUCUCGAAGGUAUCGGCAGUACGUGGCGUUCAGAGUCAACGAGAUCCUGAGCCUGUCGAAGACGGAAGAGUGGCAUUGGUUGGGUACCAAAAUCAACGUAGCCGAUGAAGCCACAAAAUGGGGUAAAGGUCCAAACUGCAAGCCCGAAAGCCGAUGGAUGCGUGGACCGGCGUUUCUGUACAACGACGAACAGGAUUGGCCGAAGGACAAGUUCGAGGGAGCGGCACAUGCUACAGAAGAGGAGCUGCGGCCUGCUUACGUCUGCAGCCACUUUUUAUCAUUUCCGGUAGUCGAAGUGUCGCGGUUUUCCAAAUUCGAGCGGCUACUACGAGGCUUGGCGUUUGCUCGCCGAUUCGGCGAAAAGCUUCUGCGGCGAAUCAGGAAAAUGAAGAGCGAUGAAACUACGGAUAUCAGCAGUGAGGAUUUGCAAAUUGCGGAAAGAAGUCUCUGGCGGUAUGCUCAGUCGGACGGAUACGCAGAUGAAGUUGCUACAAUGAACUGGAACGCGCAAACGGCUCCCAAAAAUAGGCGUGCGCUGAGCCGAAGCAGUCCACUAGCGAAUCUCCCACCGAUGCUAGACGAACAUGGAUUGUUGCGCGUAGAUGGUCGGGUUGCUGCUGCAGACUGCAUAGAUCGAGAUACCAAGUUCCCGAUAAUACUGCCUAAAGGACACUCGAUUACCAACUUGUUACUGGACUGGUACCACCGAAAAUUUCGUCACGCCAACAAUGAAACGGUCGUGAAUGAAAUUCGUCAGAAGUUUUACAUCCCAAAACUGAGAUCACAAGUCCGAUCCAUAGCGAAACGUUGCCAAUGGUGUCGUAUAUACAAAUCCGUUCCUGCUAUUCCGAAGAUGAGUCAACUGCCUCAGUUCCGUAUCACACCAUAUGUUAAACCGUUCACAUUUGUAGGCAUAGACUACUUCGGGCCCUAUACAGUAAAGAUCGGCCGUAGCGUGGUAAAACGUUGGGUAGCGAUAUUUACGUGCCUAACCGUACGGGCUAUACACAUGGAGCUAGUGCAUUCUCUUUCGACCGACUCGUGUAAGAAAGCAGUUCGACGUUUUAUCGCUCGCAGAGGAGCGCCGCAAGAAAUCUACACGGAUAAUGGAACAAAUUUCAUUGGCGCGAGUAGAGAGCUGAACAACGAAUUGCAAGAGAUUAACGUUAGCCUGGGCAGCACCUUUACGGAUACCAACACUCAAUGGCGAUUCAACCCGCCGUUGGCCCCACACAUGGGAGGAUGUUGGGAGCGCAUGGUUCGAUCCGUGAAGACCGCUCUCGGAACAUUGCCGGAAACAAGGAAGUUGGACGACGAAUCGUUUAUGACAUUGUUGGCUGAAGCGGAGCAUAUGGUCAAUUCGCGGCCGUUAACGUUUCUGCCUAUCGACAGCGAAGAGCAGGAGUCGUUGACUCCCAACCAUUUUUUGAUGCUCAGCUCUAGUGGAGUUCGACAACCGCUCAAGGCGCCGGUGGAUGAGAGAAAGGCGUUGAAGAACAGUUGGGAGCUGAUCCAACAUAAGUUGGAUAGAUUUUGGAGUCGUUGGAUAACCGAGUACCUACCAAUAAUAUCCCGACGGUCAAAGUGGUUCAGCGACAUCGAGCCUAUCAAAGAAGGAGCGUUAGUAGUUAUCGUCGACGGAAAAAUACGGAACCAAUGGGUGCGCGGCCGUGUGUGCCGAACAUAUCCCGGGAAGGACGGAGCUGUGCGUCUAGCGGAUGUCGAGACAUCUGCCGGAAUCUUAAGGAGAAGAGCAGCAUGCAACCUCGCAGUUUUGGACGUUACUGGACAUGAUGAAGAGCAUUCGGGUGAUCAAAGUGAUACGGAUAUCGGCGGACGCUGUGCAGCUGCGAGUCGCGGGUGUGGUGCCGUAGAACCAGUAGUCGUACGACACGAGGGGGAGGAUGUUGCGACGACGGCUACCAUCGAAGCGCCCCCCGAAAGCUUAGACGUUUCUCAUGCGAAUGUGUGAGACGAAUACCUAUACUAUGGGAAGCUGUCAGAUAGGUUAUCAGAAAAUAGCAAAUCAUCGUUGUGGAUGCAGAAUUGUGAACUAUAAAGUGAAUUGGAAAUUUGUUUAUUUGAACUUAUAAUACUAAUUAAAACUACCUAAUUACAGAUCACAACAUAAACUAUUACUAAAUUACCCUAGCUAUAUUGCAAACCGUGAAAUUUAUUUGCCUAGUACGGGACCAAUUCUUUGAGCUGAUUUCACCGGGAACAUUGGCGAAUUUUGCUCCAAAGACCUCCGAACGGCAAUCCACCGCAAC